UAACCCAUAGCUGCCAAAUAACACAGUUAAUCCAUAGUUGCCCAAUUCCAUAUGAAGGGGUGGUUGCCUCUCUCACUGGGACUAACGUAUGGCUGCUGUAGGCAGUCAUGCCUAACUGGACCUGAGGAAGGGCAUGUUUCAGACAGAAAGUAACAAGUGAGCUGGGAUCUGACUGGUGUAUAAAAUACGCAUCAGAAAUCAUAAAGGGCCUCCAGUGGCUGGGGAUUUAGCUCAGUGGCACUAUGCACGCCUCGAACCACGCUUGCCUUGCAAGUGCAAGAUCCUAAGUUUCAUCCUCAAUAACAAAAAACAAAAGGGCCUCCAAAGUGAGGAAUUAGAUGAGAUCAAAGACAUGUGACAACUAGAAAUGUGGACUCCAUAAAUGUCAGCCACCCUGCUCUGUCCUCAUGAUAACCCGAAACCAAGUAAUAAAGCUGAACUAUCCACCAGCUGGAGACAAUGAAGGCUGCUCCUGGGAUCUGUUUACAGAAGAUGUAUGCUAGCAGUUCCAGCUAUAUUGGUCCUGCUGGGAAAAAUUAGUGGUUUUGGUAACAACUUCCUUGGGCCAAAGGGGAA